CUCCCCCUGUCAGAGUAUGAAGAGGGGAAGGAGCGGUGUGGGGACGCUCUGCUCAGCUGUGGGGCCACAGAAGGCAGGACGCCCUGACCAUGUCCACCAUGGCCUGGUGCCCUCUUCUCCUCACCCUGGUCGCUCUCUGCACAGGAUCCUGGGCCCAGACUGUACUGACUCAGCCGUCCUCCGUGUCUGGGUCUCCGGGCCAGAGGGUCAGCAUCACCUGCUCUGGAAGCAGCAGCAAUGUUGGUUAUGGUAAUUAUGUGGGCUGGUACCAACAGCUCCCAGGAUCGGCCCCCAGAACCCUCAUCUAUGAUGCAACCAGUCGAGUCUCGGGGGUCCCCGACCGAUUCUCCGGCUCCAGGUCUGGGAACACAGCCACCCUGACCAUCAGUUCGCUCCAGGCUGAGGACGAGGGUGAUUAUUACUGUGCAUCUUAUGACAGUGGUAGCAUUACAAUAAUAUUUUCGGCAGCGGGACCAAGCUGACCGUCCUGG